rnacentral:misc_RNA from 1 species
GAUGAAGAACGUAGCGAAAUGCGAUAACUAAUGUGAAUUGCAGAAUUCCGUGAAUCAUCGAGUCUUUGAACGCACAUUGCGCCCCCUGGUAUUCCGGGGGGCAUGCCUGUUCGAGCGUCAUUUCACCACUCAAGCCUCGCUUGGUAUUGGGCAUCGCGGUCCGCCGCGCGCCUCAAAUCGACCGGCUGGGUCUUCUGUCCCCUAAGCGUUGUGGAAACUAUUCGCUAAAGGGUGUUCGGGAGGCUACGCCGUAAAACAACCCCAUUUCUAAGGUUGACCUCGGAUCAGGUAGGGAUACCCGCUGAACUUAAGCAUAUCAAUAAGCGGAGGA